UGAAUACGAGAUGCUAAGGCGUCGAAGUAGUGUAUGUCAUGCUUCCAAGAAAAGCUUGCAAUGUCAUAGAUAAAAAAUGCCUGUACCAUAACCGACACAGGUGGGUAAGUAGAGUAUACUAAGGGGCGCGAGAUAACUCUCUCUAAGGAACUCGGCAAAAUAACUCCGUAACUUCGGGAGAAGGAGUGCCUUAUUCUUAAGGUUGCAAUAACAAGAUCCAAGCAACUGUUUAUCAAAAACACAGGUCUCCGCUAAGUCGUAAGACGAUGUAUGGGGGCUGACGCCUGCCCAGUGCCAGAAGGUUAAAGAAGUCGGUUAGCAAUUGCGAAGCUGGUAACUGAAGCCCUGGUGAACGGCGGCCGUAACAAUAACGGUCCUAAGGUAGCGAAAUUCCUUGUCGGGUAAGUUCCGACCCGCACGAAAGGCGUAAUGAUUUGGAUGCUGUCUCGGAGAGGGGCUCGGUGAAAUAGACUUGUCUGUGAAGAUGCGGACUACCUGCACCAGGACAGAAAGACCCUAUGAAGCUUUACUGUAACUUGAAAUUGAAAUUGGACUUUAUUCGCGCAGUAUAGGUGGGAGGCGUUGAUUAUAAUCUUGCGGGAUUAUCGGAGCCAUCAGUGAGAUACCACUCUUCUAAUGUUAGAUUUCUAACUUUGAAUCAUUAUCUGGUCAAAGGACAAUUUCAGGCGGGCAGUUUGACUGGGGCGGUCGCCUCCUAAAUGGUAACGGAGGCGUACAAAGGUUUCCUCUGAACGGUUAGAAAUCGUAUCUAGAGUGUAAAGGCAUAAGGAAGCUUGACUGUGAGACCUACAAGUCGAGCAGGGACGAAAGUCGGUCUUAGUGAUCUGACGGUACUGAGUGGAAAGGCCGUCACUCAACGGAUAAAAGUUACUCUAGGAUAACAGGCUGAUCUCCCCCAAGAGUUCACAUCGACGGGGAGGUUUGGCACCUCGAUGUCGGCUCAUCGCAUCCUGGGGCGGUAGUACGUCCCAAGGGUUGGGCUGUUCGCCCAUGAAAGCGGUACGCGAGCUGGGUUCAGAACGUCGUGAGACAGUUCGGUCCAUAUCCGGUGUAGGCGUUAGAAUAUUGAGAGGAGCCUUCUUUAGUACGAGAGGACCGAGAAGGACAUACCUCUGGUGUACCAGUUAUCGUGCCAACGGUAAACGCUGGGUAGCUAUGUAUGGAGUGGAUAACCGCUGAAAGCAUCUAAGUGGGAAGCCCACCUCAAGAUAAGUAUUCUC
rnacentral:rRNA from 1 species